UACGGAGGAUCCAAGCGUUAUCCGGAUUCACUGGGUUUAAAGGGUGCGUAGGCGGGCAGGUAAGUCCGUGGUGAAAUCUCUGAGCUUAACUCAGAAACUGCCAUGGAUACUAUUUGUCUUGAAUAUUGUGGAGGUGAGCGGAAUAUGUCAUGUAGCGGUGAAAUGCUUAGAUAUGACAUAGAACACCCAUUGCGAAGGCAGCUCACUACACAAUGAUUGACGCUGAGGCACGAAAGCGUGGGGAGCGAACAGG
rnacentral:rRNA from 1 species